AUUGAACGCUGGCGGCAGGCCUAACACAUGCAAGUCGAGCGGAUGAAGGGAGCUUGCUCCUGGAUUCAGCGGCGGACGGGUGAGUAAUGCCUAGGAAUCUGCCUGGUAGUGGGGGAUAACGUCCGGAAACGGGCGCUAAUACCGCAUACGUCCUGAGGGAGAAAGUGGGGGAUCUUCGGACCUCACGCUAUCAGAUGAGCCUAGGUCGGAUUAGCUAGUUGGUGGGGUAAAGGCCUACCAAGGCGACGAUCCGUAACUGGUCUGAGAGGAUGAUCAGCCACACUGGAACUGAGACACGGUCCAGACUCCUACGGGAGGCAGCAGUGGGGAAUAUUGGACAAUGGGCGAAAGCCUGAUCCAGCCAUGCCGCGUGUGUGAAGAAGGUCUUCGGAUUGUAAAGCACUUUAAGUUGGGAGGAAGGGCAGUAAGUUAAUACCUUGCUGUUUUGACGCUACCAACAGAAUAAGCACCGGCUAACUUCGUG
rnacentral:rRNA from 1 species